rnacentral:rRNA from 1 species
GAUGGACGGGGCAGGCGGCUGGGUAAUAGAGGGGGGGGCAGGGGUGAGUAGGAAGUUGUGGGCGUAAGGGGCGCGGAGGCGGUGUGUUAGGGCGGAUGGUGAAGCCCAGGGCUCAACCCGGGAACUGCAUCCGAGAGUGGGAGGCGAGAGGAGGGGAGAGGUUGGUGGAAUGCCUCGGGUAGCGGUGAAAUGCGUAGAGAUGAGGAGGAACACCAGUGGCGAAGGCGGCCAACUGGACAGUAACUGACGCUGAGGCGCGAAAGCGUGGGUAGCAAACAGGAUUAGAUACCCGGGUAGUC